rnacentral:lncRNA from 1 species
AACGGUUAUCCUGAACAUGAAAACGAGAAAAAUGGCCCAUGCGGCAAGUUUAGCACACUUAGAAUUUUGACGCAUAAACUGCGUCACUGCGAAAAGGCUGCACGAGAUGCGUGGGCUCCUGUUUCUUCACAGUGCUGCAAUGACCUUGUAGAAGUAAGCAUCCCUUGCCUCUAUGCUGUUUUCUCCUCUGAUGCUUUCAAGAGAGUUGGUGUUGAUCCCAGAGUCGCAAUCACUAUUCCCCAUCGUUGCCAUUUCGCCAACAAGCCAUAGACCACAACUUACCUACCUAUCAUAAAUGAAAACAUAUUUUUCAGGUAUAUAUAUGAGCAUAUAUCUAUCAAGAAUAAUUAUUUAUAUUUCAAAAACUUUAUCUAGAAGCUGAUAAAUUGUUAUAUUUCUAUACUGAACUAAUUAAAUUCAUCACAUUUUUGGCUGUUAUAAAGUAGCAUAUGCUGAUUCAUUGUUUUCUCUAAUGUAAUUGCAGCUUGUAGAUGGCUGAGAACGUUGGUUAUGGUUACGCAACCUGAGGUUUUUACAAUUCGUCAAAGCUUCAGGAUACAGUAGUCUGUGUUGUGUACUGUAUGUUUGUUGUCCGUUAAUAAUUUGAGCUUGUUAUCAAGGCUCACAAAUAAAUUACCUUGUAAUGUACAAUUUUAUUCUCUAUCAAAUAAAUUCACGUUUUCUUAAAAUAUAUCUUUUUGGUUGUUUCGAAUUUAAUUUUAUUUGGAUGAAUUGGUGUAUCUUAGAGAAUAUGAGUGUGUUUGAGUAAACUAUGGAAAAUCUUAAAAUUUAAUUUGUUUGCAAAUGAAUCUCGACCCUAUGUUUGUGUAAACAUUGGUCCGUUUGAUGUGUGCAUUAGAACAACUAUUAUAGUAUAUUCCACAACAACUCAAACAUGUAUUACAUUCAUUUUCCACAACAACUCAAACAUAUAUGCACUACAUUGUUGGUUUGCGACUGUGCUGAGGACUUUCUGCAUUGAACUAUUCACCAUAUAGUUUCCUCGGCCUAGCUGCAUAAUCUUGUGCAUAUUAUCAUUCAGUGUAUAGAUAAUUUUUAGUUUUACUAUUAUUUGGUGGACUCUGCAAUGUUACAUGAGAUUUAAGAAUUUUAAUAAGUAUUUUCUCUUAUGAUACAAUUUUUAAAAACUCAAAAUUGCAUUUGAUAAUUAUCUAAUUAACAAUUCAAAAGAACUUUGAAGGAUAGUUGUUUAUACAACUAUUAUUUACAUGUCGAUUUUUCAACAAUAAAAUUGUAUAAGAACUUAUUCUUAAGUUUAAGAAUCCUAUAUACAAGGAUAUAUGCUCUAUGUUCUUAACUUUCCCACUAAAGAUAACAACUAAGAUAAUAUGACUUCGCUAGCUGUCCAAAAAAAAAAAAAAAGAUAACACCAUGAUGACUUCAUAAAUAACAAAUAAGAUAACAUGAUUUGAUUAAUUACAGAAUAACUAAUUAUAGAACCACAACAACGACGAGUCUUGUCUUACCCAACGUUGAAAUGGACCAAAACAACGACGGGUCUUCGCCUACCCGUCGUUGAAAUGGACCCCAACAACGACGGGUUCUUCAACAUGUGCAUUGUCGAAUCAUUUUUUAAAACGUCUGUUGUUAUAUAGGCAUUGACGUCUGACGUUGUAUUCUGACCUUACAAAGAUGGGUCCUACUAUGAUCAAUGUCGUUGUUGUCGACAUACAACGACAUCUGGAACAAAGACGGUGUGGGGCCCGUCGUAGAUACUGGUUUUCAACCGAUGUAGAAGCUUCUUUUUGUAGUUGUGCCAGGAUCGACUAUCCUGUUAAUUAACAAAUCUUUUAGACUUUUACAUCAUGAUGAAGUAGUAAAGUAAAGUGAAAGUAGGUAGAAUUUAGAUUAAAAUUUAGGGGGUGUAAAAAAAGAAUAUCUUCUCGCUUUAAUAAUUAAUAAUGUAAAUUGAAAAUAAUGUUGCUUGAUACUACCAAAAAAUUUAACUACCAGAAAAAUAUUUUCUUCCCAAGCUUGACUUGAAAAUGGUGAAAAGAUAAUGUUAAAGUGUUUCACUUCGUCUUGUUUUCUUUUUCUGUUUGUUUUUUAUCUUCAAGAUGUGUUAAAAGCUAAAUUAUGGCCCCUUAUAUAUUAUCUAAAUUAUAUCUCAAUCAAUACUUGUUUUUCUAAUGGUAUGGUUAUGGUUGUUGAGAGUUUUAGCAUUUUUCUUAUUAAAGGUAAAAAUUUUAUUUAGACGUUGAGUGUAAAUAAAAAAAAGGAAAUGGAGAGGAUAAAGGUAGGCUAAAAUUUUUAAUAUUUGUUUGAAAGAAAAAAAAAAGGUAAGGAGAAAUUUUUUUGGGGACAUAAAUCCGACCCAUCCCCCCUCCCCCGGGAGAAAAGUUUUUUUUCUUUUUUUCCAAUAAACGUGAUUGUUUCCAAUUUUCAUUGAGUGUGAUUCAAUCGUGAGGAUUGAGGAGCUCAAGAAGCAACAAGGAGAGGUGACAAAGUGAAGACUAGCAUAUAAAAGUAAAAAUCAUGAUUAAAGAUUAAGGAGUUUGAAUUUUAUAUUUGUAUUUUGUAAAGUUAAGGAGACUUACAACAAAAAGUAAAUUUUUUUGUUAUAUAUAUAAAAUUAGAAAAACAGAUAAAGCAAUGGAUAAUUUGUUCCAUGGGGUGUGAGCUUUGUCAUUUACAAGAUUUCAAACUAUAGGAAUUAAAAAAAUAUUAAAAUAUAAAUUAUAUAAAUUAAAAAAUCAGUUUCAAACUAUAAAAAAUAAAAGAGAAUUAAAAUCUAAAUGAUAAAGAUUGAAAAACACUUUCAAAUUAUAAGAACUAAAAGAUAUAAAUUAUGAAACUAUAGAAAACAAAUGAGUAACUAAACCUAUUUAUUUUAAGUGUAGAUGCAAAGUAACUUAGUAAGUUUCAGGGGACGAUUGCCCCUAUAUUGAAAUAUGUAAUUUGGGCCCUCCUCGAACUAGAUGAUGAUAUGUUGUAUAUUAUUAACUAAUUGGUAAGUGCACCAAUUCAUCCAAGCAGUAAAGUAAAACGGAAAUUCGAGUGUUAGAGUCCACAAGGAUUUUGUUUGUACUUGGAGUUGUGUCUAUCCAAUUUUCAAGCAAUAAUUGAAUUGAUUUAAAUAAUUGUGAUACGAAAUAGCAAAAAUAAAUUGACAGAAAAUUAAAAUAAUUAUCUAGCACGUGCAAGGGAAGAACAACAAACACUUGAAGCGGUAAAAUGAGGACUGAUACAGAAUACGAAUGUGUUGGAGUUUAGCCUACCAAAACUAUUCUUGAUGUAAUGUUAAUGAUUUUUCUCUAUUUAAUAUUAAUCAAAUUAUCACCUACAUCUACUCCAAUCAUGAUUCCUCAUAAGAAACAGUUUAUUUUACCUAAUUUCUCUCCUAAUUCCUUAAGAGAAUAAACCGGUUAAAUUAUAUUAUUAGUAGAGAUGCAUACAACAUGCUAAAUAGCACCAAUCUAUCCCUAGAGAUGAAUUAUUUGGAAGCCAUUUUCCAGUCCUUAAGAGAUGAACAUUUUCCAAUGCCUAAACCCUCAAACAUAGCAUGAAUAUGGGUGAUCAAACCACACACAUGAGAAUAAACACAUAAAAGAGAUAAUGAAAUUGAAAUAACAUUAAAUAGAUAGUAAGAGUCUUUACAUCAAGAGUGUUUGGUUGUUAAACUCCCAACAAUAGGUGAUUCAGUCUCUCAUUAUCAUGAAAGACUUUACAAUUGCAAGAGGAUGAUGGAGAGUAAAGAAGAAUGGAGAUGGAGGAAAGGAAUGACUCCUAAUGAUUGAUUUCUCUUAUUCCUGCACGAACCCUAGCCUUUGCUCUCCGUGAAUCUGAAUAAUUUGGUGAAUGACUGAAUAAUAUGUUUCCACCUUCCUUUUCUCCUUUAAAACAUAGCUCUGUUCUGUUAUUUUUUGCGACCUCGCGCUAAGUAGGAUACUCACGAUAAGCGAAGAGUAAGUGGUCAUGCGUUAAGCGCGCCUUCACUGAUAUCAGGUUUCUCCAUGUGACUUCUUUGUACAAAACGAGUAUUGCCCCGCUGAGCGAUUGCAUCGUGUUGGGCACAAAACGAGAGUUUCCCUAUCUUUAAUUUCUCUUCCAUGCUUUAUUUUGUGUUUCUACAACAAAUACACCACCAAAACAGUAUAAAUUCACCAAUUUAAACACCUAUUAGACAAAAACUUGGAUGAUGUCGAAAUUCUAAUUAUUCACACAAAAAGAAGUAAUAAAAAAGUAAAAUUUGACAAUUUUUAUUAACUUAAUUACAAGAUAUACUUAUGCACGACCGUUAUCAUAUAUCGAUUGUUGUUUUGCAUAAACCACACUAGAUUCUUGUUUUCUAAAUAUACAACAAUAAAACCUUAUUCUUAACAAAAAACAAAGAAGGGUGUUGGAAUUAAAAGGGCAACCAAUCAGAUUUUGUCUAUAUUUUUAUGCAUUUAAAUUCAUACAACUAAAAUUUUUUCUUGAUUUAUUGUGACCUUUGUAUAAUUUGUUAUAAAUUUAUUUAAAUAAAUCUCAGAAUUAAAUUUAUAAAUAAUGAAAUUCUCUUAUGAAAAACAUCCUCCUUAAACAAACAAGCACAUUUGAGAUAAACUUAAGUUUUCAAGACUAGUUUGACUUCUGUGACAACCUCCGAACCUCCUUCAUUAUUUAUCUUAUUAAUAAACCAUGGACCGUCUAAGUAUAGCAUGACGUUUCACAAAAUAGCAUCGUUGAAAAAGUAUUUAUUUUUCGAUUCUUUAUAUAUAUAUAAGAAGAAAGCCUCCAUAAGUAAGACAUAUAGGCUGUUGAGUAAGAUAUUGUAAUACCAACUACGUACCAAGGCUGUGCAGUGCUUCCUGAUUCAAAAUAUUCUCCGGCCUGCUUUCUUCUCUACGGUAAGAAUCUGCGGGCAUGAAGCUGUAACCCUACCUUCUCCCAUCAAUUUAAAGAAUGCCAAAUCCAGAUGCUUGUGAACAAGGUUUUGUGCAUAGUUUACUAGUUUAUCUUGCUAAUCUAGCAGUAUAUAUAGAGCAUGGUGCAAGGCAAUUUUUGUGAGUUGUAUUUCAAGCUUGAAGCUACUUAAAAAGAGUAAAUCAUCAAUCAAAUUCAUUUAGUUAAGAUGAGCAAGUUCGUUGGUGUGUUCCUGCUGCUUUUGAUCACUGUGACCGUUGCUGAAUACGACCACAGUUAUCCUGAACAUGAAAACGAGAAAAAUGGUCCAUGCGGCAAGUUUGGCACACUUAGAAUUUUGACGCAUAAACUGCGUCACUGCGAAAAGGCUGCACGAAAUGCAUGGGUUCCUGUUUCUUCACAGUGCUGCAAUGACCUUGUAGAAGUAAGCAUCCCUUGCCUCUAUGCUGUUUUCUCCUCCGAUGCUUUCAAGAGAGUUGGUGUUGAUCCCAGAGUCGCAAUCACCAUUCCCCAUCGUUGCCAUUUCUCCAACAAGCCAUAGACCACAACUUACCUACCUACCAUAAAUGCCAACAUAUUUUUCAGGUAUAUAUAUGAGCAUAUAUCUAUCAAGAAUAAUUAUUUAUAUUUCAAAAACUUUAUCCGCAAGCUGAUAAAUUGUUAUAUUUCUAUACUGAACUAAUUAAAUUAAACAUUUAUAUACUCAUCACAUUUUUUGCUGUUAUAAAGUAUACCAUGUGCUCAUUGUUUUUUCUGAUGUAAUUGCAGCUUGUAUAUGGCUGGGAAAGAUGGUUAGGCAACCUGAAGAUUUUACAACGUCAAAGCUUCUGGAUAUACAGUGUGUUGUGUAUUGUAUGUUUUGUUAAUAAUUUGAGCUUGUUAUCAAGGCUCACGAAUAAAUUACCUUGUAAUGUAUAAUUUUAUUCUCUAUCAAAUAACGUUUUCUUAAAAUGUAUCUUUUGGGUUGUUUCAAAUUUAAUUUUAUUUGGAUGGGUUGUUGUAUCGUAGAGAAUAUGAGUGCGUUUGAGUAAACAUUGGAAAAUCUUAAAAUUUAAUUUGUUUGCAAAUGAAUCUCAACCCUAUGUUUGAGUAAACAUUGGUCCAUUAGAUGUGUGCAUUAGAACAAGUAUUAGUGUAUAUUCCACAACAAGUCAAACAUGUACUACAUUCAUUUUCCACAACUCAAACAUAUUUGCACUACAUUGUUGGUUUGCGACUGUGCUGAGGACUUUCUGCAUUGAACUAUUCACCAUAUAGUUUCCUCGGCCUAGCUGCAUAAUCUUGUGCAUAUUAUCAUUCACAGUACGAAAGUUUCUACCGUAUCUCAUAAAUUUAGGGUUUUUGGUAUAGAUAAUUUUUUGUUUUACUAUAAUUUGGUGGACUCUACAAUAUUACAUGAGAUUUAAGAAUUUUAAUAAGUAUUUUCUCUUAUGAUACAAUUUUUAAAAACUCAAAAUUGCAUUUGAUAAUUAUCUAAUUAACAAUUCAAAAAAACUUUGAAGGAUAGUUGUUUAUACAACUAUUUUUUACAUGUCGAUUUUUCAACAAUAAAAGUGUAUAAGAACUUAUUCUUAAGUUUAAGAAUCCUAUAUACAAGGAUAUAUGGCUCUAUGAUCUUAACUUUCCCAUUAAAGAUAACAACUAAGAUAAUAUGACUUCGCUAGCUGCCCAAAAAAAGAAAGAUAACAUCAUGACUUCAUAAAUAACAAAUAAGAUAACAUGAUUUGAUUAAUUACAGAAUAACUAUUUUAUUUUUCUUUUCUUAUAAUAUAUAUAUAUAUAUAUUCUUUCUCUUCCAGGAUCGACUAUCCUGUUAAUUAGCAAAUCUUUUUAGACUUCGACAUCAUGAUGAAGAAGUGGUAAAGUAAAGCGAAAGUAGGUAAAAUUUAGUUCAAAAUUUAGGGGGUAUAAAAAAAGGAAUAUCUUCUCGCUUUAAUAAUUAAUAAUAUAAAUGGAAAAUAAUGUUGCUUGAUACUACUAAAAAAUGUAACUACCAGGAAAAUAUUUUCUUCCCAAGCUUGACUUGAAAAUGGUGAAAAGAUAAUGUUAAUUAAAGUGUUUCACUUCGUCUUGUUUUCUUUGUCUGUUUUUUUUUUUUUUUUUGUCUUCAAGAUGUGGCAAAAGCUAAAUUAUGCCCCUUAUAUAUUAUCUAAAACAUAUCUCAAUCAAUACUUGUUUUUCUAAUGGUAUGGUUAUGGUUGUUGAGAGUUUUAGCAUUUUUUUUAUUAAAGGUUAAAUUUUUAUUUAGACGUUGAGUGUAAAUAAAAAGAAAGGAAAUGGAGAGGAGAAAGGUAGGCUAUAAUUUUUAUUAUUUUUUUGAAAGAAAAAAAUUAAGGAGAAAUUUUUUUUGGGACAUAAAUCUGACUCCCCUUCCCCCCUCCCCCGGGAGAAAAGUUUUUUUUUUCCAUUAUUUUUUGGUUUGUAGUUUCUUAAAUAAAUAACUAAAUAAAAUUUUAUAACAUUAUUUAGAAAAUAUAAUGGAAUAAAAAAAAUUGGAGUUAAGUUUUUUUAAUCAAUAUAAAAAUUAUUUUAACAAUUUUUUUAUUUAUUUCCACAUCCAAACAAUUAAAGAGAAUUUUUUCACUACUUUCCUUCUUAUUUCUAUCACAGCCUUCACCAUCAUUAUCAACAUCUCCACCAUAUUACCCUUCUCCAUCCAUAGCUUGAUAUGUUUGAGUGAUCUAGUAAAAAUAGACGCUUUUAGAUUUUGGUGAUGGUGAGGAGGAUGCUGGUGAUGAUAUUCCAGUUGAGUAGGCCAAACCCUCAUUGAAGAGGAUAAAGAAUUGUAGUAGAUGAGUUGCCAAGACUCUUUUCCAGAAAAAGUCAAGAGGUGUACAACAUUGACAUAUAUAAAUUAAAUUUGUAACUUAUUCAGAUGUCUAUCACUGGAAUUUUUAUGGACAAAGACUUAAGCUAAUAAUUAAAUUUUGCUCUUUUUUUUCUAAGUAGACUAAGCAAAUAUUAAAGAAAAAGAGAAAUUUUGGAAUGAUUUUAACUGGAUCACCAAAGUCUUUUAUGUAGGCUAAGUGUGGAAGCGGAAAGGAAUCUAAUGUGAGACUUGGGUGUAAGACUUUGUGUGUGAUUGAUUUACCAAACCGCCGUUGAAUAAAAAAUUAUAAAUUUUUACUUCUCAUAAAGAACGCAUGAGAAUUUGUGUCCAUUCAAUCCAACAUUAAACUAAAUACACACUUCAACUUCUAUCACCUUUCCAAUCAGUUUUUGGAUUUAUUUGAAUAAUUUUAUUCUCAAACCUAUCAGUUUGGUUCUAUUUUUUAUUUCUGAAACACAACACUUAUAUAUUAGUUUAAUGUUAUGAUUUUUAUGUGCGUAUUAUUUGAAUUUUAUAUAAUUUUCUAGUAUUAUGCAUAUAAAACUUAUAUAAUAUAUAUUAUUUUUUUAGAUAAUUUUUUAAAGAUAUGUUUCAUCUAAAAUUGAGAAAAUUUGAUAAUUUUUAUUAUAGAAUAUUUAGUAUUAAUUAACAAGUUUUGUAUAUUGUUGUCAAUAAUUUUUUAAUAUAAUUUGAUUUAAAAGAUUUAAAAAAGAUAUAUUAAUUUUAAUAGAAUAAUAUUUUAAUAAAAAUCACAAAAAUAAAUUAAACCAAAUAGUAAAAGAUUGAUUUGAUUUGAUUUAAUUGGAAUUUGAUAAUAAAUAUAAAUUGAAUUGCAUAUAAUAUAAUUUUUAUGUUUGAUUUGAAUCAUCUUUGAUUAAAAAAAAAAAUUGAAUCAGACAAUGAGGAAUACCCCUAUACCCCUAAUUUGACUUGUGAGAUAAUCAACCGGCCGGUAGAAGAUAGAAUUUUCAUUUAUCUUAUCUUAUUAAUAAACCAUAGAGCGUCUAUGUAUAGCAUGUCGUGUCACAAGAUAUCAAAGUUGAAAAAUGAAAAUGAAUUCGUUUGUAUAUACUUUAAAAAGCAACAGAAAUUAGGGAGCGUUUGGUUUUUGUUUCCAGACUAGAUAUACAGGCUGUUCAUCUAAUACCAACUACGCAUCAAGACCCUGUAUGUCCUGAUUCAAAAUAUUCCCAGGCUCGGUACUUCUUUGGUAAGAAUCUGCGUGCACAAAACUUCUCCCGAGAAAUUAAAGAAUGCACAAUCCACACGCUUCCUGAACGUGGUUUUGUACUUGGUUGAUUGUUUAUUUUGCCAAUCUGGCAUUAUAUAUAGAGCAUUGUGCUAGCCAAAUUUUGUGAGUUGCAUUCAAAGCCUUAGAAAUUAAUUUUAAUUACGAAGAUGAGCAAGUUCGUGGGGUUGCUUUUGCUGCUUUUGAUCACUGUGGCCAUUGCUGAAUACGAUCACCAUCCUGAACAUGAGAAACAUGGUCCAUGUGGGAAGUUCAGCACACAAAGAAUGUUGACACAUAAGCUUCGCCACUGCGAAAAGGCUGCACGAAGCAUAAGGGCUCCUGUUUCUUCACAAUGCUGCAAAGACCUCGCUAAGGUCAGCAUCCCUUGCUUGCAUGCUGUCUUCUCUUCCGAUGCCUUCAAGAAAGUUGGUGUUGAUCCCAAAAUCGCAAUCACCAUUCCCCAUCGUUGCCAUUUUGCCAAGCCAUAAACCACCAGGUACCUACCUAUCAUAAAUAACUAAAUUAAACAAGUUUGGCUGCUACUAUAUAAAGUAUCAUAUGCUCAUUGUUUUCUCUAAUCUAAUUGCAGCUC